rnacentral:misc_RNA from 1 species
GAUGAAGAACUUAGCGAAAUGCGAUACGUAAUGUGAAUUGCAGAAUUCAGUGAAUCAUCGAAUCUUUGAACGCAUAUUGCGCUCUCUGGUAUUCCGGAGAGCAUGCUUGUUUGAGUAUCAGUAAACACCUCAACUCCCUUUUCUUUUUUGAAAUUGGAGCUGGACUUGAGUGAUCCCAACGCUUUCUUCCAAGAAAGUGGCGGGUUGCUUGAAAUGCAGGUGCAGCUGAACUUUUCUCUGAGCUAUAAGCAUAUCUAUUUAGUCUGCCUAAAAAACAGAUUAUUACCUUUGCUGCAGCUAACAUAAAGGAGACUAGUUCUUGUGCUGACUGAUGCAGGAUUCACAGAGACAGCUUCGGCUGACUUUGUAAACUCGAUCUCAAAUCAAGUAAGACUACCCGCUGAACUUAAGCAUAUCAAUAAGCGGAGGA